GGAACACAUCCUUCGUCAUUCAUCCAUCUCCAUCAUCAUCUUCAUCACUGGAACCCAGCCUCAUCUUCAUCUUCUGGAACCCAGCCCUUCAUCGCACUUAGAAAACCCUAACCUCCAUUACGCCGUCAUUUAUCUCACUGGUUCGUCGUUGUGUUAGCCAGCUCGUCAUUCCUCUUGCUGUCCUUCUCGCCGUUCUGGUCGUCAUGCUGCUCGCCUCUCUCUGUCACGGUUCUGCUUGCCUCUCCCUGUGGUGAAGUACUGCUCUGAGAAUAACAAGAGGCUUAUUCACUUCUCUACUUGUGAAGUGAAUGGGAAAAUGAUUGGAAGCUUUCUCCCCAAAGAUAGUUCUGCUUCUGUUGAUUGGAGGGAGAAGGGUGCUGUCUCCCCCUUAAGGAUCAAGGCCAAUGCGGUUAGCACAUUAAAUUAGGGUUUAAUUUUGAUGCUCUAUAAUAUUAAUUCCCCUAAAAGAAUUUGAUUUGAUGUUUUGGGUUUUGUUGUGAAGGGAGUUGUUGGGAAUUCUCAACAGUUGCUGUGGUGGAAGGGUUCAAUAAAAUUGUGAGGGGGGAGUUGAUAUCUAUGUCAGAGUAAGAGUUGGUGGACUGGUUUUGCUUUACCUCUUCCUUGUGAGGAGGACCGGCAGCAAUUUCAAUGUCGUGAUACUGAAGGGCAAGGUUUGUUUUUCCCUCUCUUAUCUUUUUCAGUGGUAAGAUUAUCUUGGAGGU